AACCUGUCAAGCCAAACAGAGGCAGAGAGCACCACCUCAAUUCAAUAGAAUAAAUAUUUCCUGUAGAAAGACAGGACUGUGUUUUCACAUCAGUGAACCUACUUUAACCCACCAGCUGCCAAGACAGGUUUUGCAUGCAUGUGUUGUACCUUCAGCUGUGUUAUUUGUUGUUCCAGCAGCAUCUCUGACUGACACUUCAGCAGCUCAAUUUCCUCUUGAAUCUGCAGUUGCUGUUCUGCCUUCAACUGCAGUUCGGCAGACAAGGCCUGGCGUUCACUAGUCAGUUCUGUAGUUAGAAUCUAAUUGCAGAAAUUGUGCAAUAUGAGUGAGGAUAAACAAUGCAUUUUGUCUUUCUUUUCAAAUUCGCUUUACUGAAUUUGUGAGAUAUUCCAUCAGAGUAUUUGACAAUGGAUUUAAACAACAAGAAUCAGAAAAAGUAGUUUAAACAAUUUAGAAUAACAAAUUGUGUGAAACCAACAGGUGACCUGUUUUACUUAUUUCAUCUUUAUGCUCAACUAGAACAUGUUAAUGACACAGUAUCAAUAAAAGUAUUGGAGAUUU